CGAUACGUGUGUCUCCCCGUGCACGUUCACGCAUCCGUCUUAACCUUGCGCUCGUGUGCGUUCGACGCGAGCGAAUCACCGUGCAGUAGCUCUCCUCUCGGCUACGUGAAAUCCGCCGAGCAGCAACGCUGCCGCAACGAGACCCCGAGAGAACACGGCAAUUUUCGGGAUAAGUCAUCCUGCCGAUUUGCCGGUUUCCUAAUUACCGACGCAAACGCGAUCUAACCAAUUAGCCACCCUUUCUUAUCGACGCCAGGAACGCGGCAGAACCUGCAACGAGAUUAACCAAACAAAACGAGGUUAACGUCCGAUUUCUACGAAUACUCGAUGUUUUACCGAAACGCUGCGAACGCUGCUUGUUUUUACUGACCAAUGUACGAAUAAUUCUGUCAUUCGUUACACGAUGUAGUAAUCUGUGAAAUAGACUCUUCGUAACGUACGUAGCACAACAGAUUUCAACGUGUUUGGAGGUUAUUUUUGAACGUUGAAACUGUCGUCAAAAAUAAUAAUUAAUCGAUCCUCUAAGCGAUCAAUUUUCACUUCAACGAAUAUGACAAUUUGCUUAAGUAGGAGAAAACAGUGUCUCAAUUAGCAAAUUUAGGUUAAGUAUUAGAACUUUUGAUACUUCAUUUGAACGUUGAAACUAUCGUGAAAAAUAAUAAUUAAUCGAUCCUCUGAGCGAUCAAUUUUCACUUCAACGAAUAUGACAAUUUGCUUAAGAAGGAGAAAACAGUGUCUCAAUUAGCAAAUUUAGGUUAAGUAUCCGAACUUCUGCGCUUCUACCAGAUGAGAGUUACCGAAUUCGAACUUAAGGGUCUCCAGCGAAUCAGUGCAGACCCUUCCUAGAACUCUUGACAUACGGCACUCGAAACCUCUUCCGUAUAGUACCCUACGGCUUUCUUACCGUAUCUACAUUUAGAUUGGUGCCAAACAGAAAAACGUUGGACAGAACUAACAAGAUAUAUGCACAUAAUACGUUGGUACAGGUUGCGUUAUUGCAUUUGAGAAAAAAACGAAACGAAAAUGGGUCUCACGAUACGACAAAGUAAAUUUGGGAUCGCGUGAUCUCUAUGGAAAUUGGUAUGCAACACAACGUUUCCCUAUCCACUUCCUUCCUGUAUGAUUCGAAGGGAAGCGUCAAAUAGUUAUUGCGACGUUGGCUCCGUUUGCGUUUCGUUAUCUCAAUUCUGGUGCAGACCGACGGCCUGUAAUUGUGUUGAGGUCGCCUGUGAGUUAACCAGAAACUACGGUGUAAUGCGAAGCCAAAUAGCAGCGCAAUGCUCUCUCACGAGACCAAAAUUGCCGAUUAGCCGUAUAUUUCACUAUCGUAACCGCGUUGUGUUUUCGAUGACACCGUGGCAUUCGCUUAACCUGGGCUACCGAAAUACCUAGGGCUUUGAACCAGCAAAGACAUUGAUUCGAGUUCGAAAUCUUUUAACGAUUCAUCCCGAAACAGGCUAAAGCGUUGCAGGACGUCGUCGAAGCCAUUCAAAAAAGACCUUCUGAUUUUCCGAUGUAUAGUCCACGCGAUACCGAGGGUCUUUGCGACCGGAAACUGUGCUUCACUGCCGGUACGCCAUAUGGUAACGAGAACAUAUUGGUUCGUUGAACAGACAUACGAUCCGAAAUUCUAUUUCGAUGAAUCGUUAGAGCUUACGAAAGCGAAAAGAACUGUUCUACAAUUACUCGGACGUCCUCGAAAAGCUCGGAUAAGUUACGAUCAAUCAUGCAACAUUCAGAACAACAGCCGUUUCUAAUGAUAUUUUGAGGUGUUCGAAAGACACACGGUGCAUGUUAAAACCCGAAACGGAAAGGUACGACGGGAGUGAACGAGAAAAGGAUGACCAUAUGUCUGUAUAUGCACGAUGGAAACGAAAACAAUGAUCCGGUGAACCAAGAAACGCGCGAGGAAAUGAACCGGUAGACCAGUGAAAAGAACUCGUGCAACUAUCAGCUAAACGAUAAACAAAUUCAUAUUUACAGCAGCUUUGCUACGGCUUUCCACUUCCACGCUGCGUUUUUUUAUCUCGAUCCUCCGAUUUUAAUUGUAAUUAGACAUUUAGCGCGAUAGAAUCGAAUGCAAACACACAAAAAAAAAAGAAAAAGCAAGAAGGCCGUCCGAAGCGUACCUGGAAAGACGUCCUUUGUGUCAGGAUUAUAAGGAUGAAUCCAUCCGUUUCUCUGUUGUAUAAUGCACUGGAACAUGUUGCCGAGUUAGGCGUGGGUCACGAUUCGGCAACGAAAUGGAAUAACGAUGAAUCAAUGUGCAAGAAAAAGAAA